AGAUGAGAGUGCUAUAAACGUCCCAAGACAAACUGCCUUUUGUUGCACAGAAUCUCCUUUUGCGAUCUGUUGGGGGAAAUGGGAUUUUGGAAUUGACCCAGUUGGCGAGUGAACCGGGGGAGGAGAUAGAGAGAGCAGUGUAAUUGAAGGGGUUGAUGGGUUCUCAUAUUUGCAGGAGACUAAGUUGAGUCGCCUAAACUCAGGGCGUUGUAGAGAGGGAAAACCGAGUUUGGGCGAGUCAAAUCGUCGAAGUGAAGGGAGAAAUGGAGUGGAUUUAAGGUGGAAUUUGAGGUUAGGAGAAGAAGAGUAUAGAAGCCUUUCCAUGGCCUUUCUCCGUCUCUCUCUAAGUGUUUGUAAAACUGAGAGAGAGGGACAGAGAGAGAGGUAGAGAGAGGAGAUGGGGUCGCUGAGGAUAGAG
rnacentral:misc_RNA from 1 species